AAUUCAUUUAUCAUGCUUAAUUAACUAUUAAUAGUUCUACUCCAUUGUACUUUAAUAAAAUCUCCUAUUAAAAUACACUACAACAAAAACGGUCUAUAGCGACACUUUUAAAUGUAGGUACAUGUCAAAAAAAUGCUGCUAGCUAAAAUUACCGACACUUUUAAAAAGUGUUGCUAUAUGUAGGGUCGCUAGGUAUAUAGUGACAGUUAAAGAGUGUCGCUAUAACCUUAAAAAAUGCUGCUAAUUUACCAACACUUAUUUAAGCAUUUAGCAACUGCCGAAACUCUAUCUCGUUAGCUGCUGUGGCGGAGGAGGACGACAGGAAUGGCUCUUCGUCUAGAAUUUCAGUGGAUUGAGUGAAGAGAGAAGAAAAUAUGGUAAUUGAUUUUUCUUUUUUUUUUUUCUUUUCUAUUUGUAAUCGGGCCAAAUGGACUGGGUGUGGUGGGUUGAGUAGAGAAAUCUUUUAUUUUUGGUUGGAUUGGGCUUUAUAUUUAGGCAUUAGUAGAUGUUUUUUUAAGUUUUAGCAUAAAUGAGACACUUAUUUAAAAGUGUCCCAAACAUGUGUCCCUAUAACCUAAUUCUGUUGUAGUGAUAGGUUUUGAAUAACACAAGCUAAAUAGUUCGCUAUACAUA
rnacentral:lncRNA from 1 species